rnacentral:rRNA from 1 species
CACGUAGGCACCAAGCGUUGUCCGGAUUUAUUGGGCGUAAAGAGCUCGUAGGCGGUUCAGUAAGUCAGGUGUGAAAUCUUUGGGCUUAACCCAAAGCGUGCACUUGAUACUGCUGUGACUUGAGUUCGGUAGGGGAGUGGGGAAUUCCUAGUGUAGCGGUGAAAUGCGCAGAUAUUAGGAGGAACACCGGUGGCGAAGGCGCCACUCUGGGCCGAAACUGACGCUGAGGAGCGAAAGUGUGGGGAGCGAACAGG